CCCCGCCGCAAGUGGAUAAUUUUAAUAGUGUAAAAAUAUGCAAGUGUUCGGUAAACAGGAAGUUGUUGAGUGAUGAAUCUGAAAACGCAUCACACGGUAUAGCUGACUUGUAUAAAUCCUGAAACCAAAUUUCAGAAAUCCUUGUAUUGUAGUUCCUGAGAAAAAUGUGACGGAAAUUUUCAACUUGGUUAUCAUGUGUAAAAUAAUACAAGUGUUCGGUAAAC
rnacentral:lncRNA from 1 species